rnacentral:tRNA from 1 species
GCGUUCGUAGCUCAGUUGGAUAGAGCGUCAGACUCCGACUCUGAAGGUCGCUGGUUCGAUUCCAGUCGAGCGCGCCA